GUCCACGCAGUAAACGAUGAUAACUCGUUGUCGGCGAUACACAGUCGGUGACUAAGCGAAAGCGAUAAGUUAUCCACCUGGGGAGUACGUUCGCAAGAAUGAAACUCAAAGGAAUUGACGGGGGCCCCGCACAAGCGGAGGAACAUGUGGUUUAAUUCGAUGAUACGCGAGGAACCUUACCCGGGCUUGAAAGUUACUGACGAUUCUGGAAACAGGAUUUCCCUUUGGGGCAGGAAACUAGGUGCUGCAUGGUUGUCGU
rnacentral:rRNA from 1 species